CUUUAGAACCUAGGAAGAGACCCUCCCUGGAGAAGGGGACUAAGAGUUCAGAUAGAUGGAGCCUCAGCCUAUCAGAGGACAGCCUCCCACAGGAUGAACCCAUAGAUGGAGCCUCAGCCUAUCAGAGGACAGCCUCCCAUGGGAUGAACCCUGUUAGACAUCUUCCCCCAAUACAGCUCACCUAUGCAGCAGCAAAGCCUCGUUCUACCCCCCUGUAUGAGUUAAUGACCUCACAAUGUCAGAUUCCACAGGUCAGAGGCUUGGGCACAGCAUGUAAACACCAAGGGCUUCAUGGGAAGGGAUUGGGCUGCCUAGCCCUUGUCUAGUGUGGAUAGCAUCUGUCACUGUGGCACAAGAAAACCAGAACCAAGUGGAAUCCCCAGAAGAAAGCUUUCCAUUCUUCAAGGGAAAUGCACAGCUAAGAACUGCUCCUGUCAUCCCUGCUGGUCCAAAUCCCUCCCGCCUGGCUGUGUCUGCUAGGUCAUGUCACCUGCUGCUAUUCCAACACUACUGAAUUGGACUGCUGAUAUAUCCGUGAAGUGUUCGAGAGUGGAUCGAGCUGCCACUGCUGACUGCUGAACUGCUGACUUCCUGACAACACAAAUGGAUUUCCAGGAUGAGAUUCCUCAAUCACAUCGCUUUCCACAGCGUCCAGUCUGUCACAGACUUGUGCCUGCCGGGCAUCCUGGACACAAGGACAUCGUAUUAGCUACAAGCAUCCUCCACCCUGGAUGGGCUGUGAGGGUGGCCCAUAAGACAUGUCCAUACAAAAGCCUUCAUCCAGAAAUUACGAAUUUUCUGUCUUGACUGAUCUUCACUUCAUUGAGGCAAAGGACUUCUGGCAUUUCUGGACUGGUCCUGGGUCACUCCUGCUGACUUCCUGCUGAUUCAUCAGAGGCUUAGAGGUUUCUGCUGGAUUCUGCUGCUCCUGGUGAUUCGUGUUUGGUGACACUUUUUGAACUAGACUGUUGUUUAUCCUGACAAACGGAGAUUAGAAUUGCCCCAAAGAAAUACUUUUAAACAUGUCCACAUCCCCUUGUCCUAUUUACCAUCUUUUCUCCCCUACCUUUGGACGGUGGAAUAGAAGAGGGGUUGAAGCGUUUGAGAACCCUUAUUAAAGU
rnacentral:sRNA from 1 species